rnacentral:rRNA from 1 species
GGGGGACCUUCGGGCCUCUUGCCAUCGGAUGUGCCCAGAUGGGAUUAGCUAGUAGGUGGGGUAACGGCUCACCUAGGCGACGAUCCCUAGCUGGUCUGAGAGGAUGACCAGCCACACUGGAACUGAGACACGGUCCAGACUCCUACGGGAGGCAGCAGUGGGGAAUAUUGCACAAUGGGCGCAAGCCUGAUGCAGCCAUGCCGCGUGUAUGAAGAAGGCCUUCGGGUUGUAAAGUACUUUCAGCGGGGAGGAAGGGAGUAAAGUUAAUACCUUUGCUCAUUGACGUUACCCGCAGAAGAAGCACCGGCUAACUCCGUGCCAGCAGCCGCGGUAAUACGGAGGGUGCA